ensembl:lncRNA
AGCACUGCGUCUCAUCCGUUAUACGACCGGCCCGCAGUGUUGUGAUGGAACCUGACUGUGCAGUGUUUGUUACGUCUGCUGUGAUUGUCACGGUGUCCAAGGGUAAUUGUUCUUUCCUAUCUGAAACAAUGCAGUGGAAAGAGUGUGUCGGAGCAGGAAAAUGAGCCAGCCAAGCCUUCAGUAAACCUGGAGGAGCUCCGAGCCGAGAUCAAGGCAAAGAUCGAAGAGGAGGCCUACCAAAAAGGCUACCAAGAUGGACUGAAGCAAGGCAAGGUGCUUCAGGAAGAGAAAUGUGAAGACGAAAGUGCUGCGGACAAAUUGCUGGAAACAAAAAAUAAGGAUGAAGAGAGCGGAGAGAGGCUUAAGAACAGCAGGAGGAUGGAGGAAGUCCUGGCUGUUGUAAGCGAGUUCUGUCCCAAGGUAUCCAUGAGUCGGCGGCUUCUAUGGCUCACUCUGACGCUGUUUGUGGCUGUGUGUGUGGUGUUCAGUAUUUAUUCAUUCUUCAGUGACUAUUACAACCGACACGAGGACACAUAAGGGAAGAGGAACUCUGUGUGAGACACUGACGGAGAUCUUUGGACUGGGUGUAAGAGCGCAACGAAAGAACCCGCUAAACAGAAUAACAGAGACCUCAUACAUCACGUCUCUCCCAGUUUACCAUAUCAUCAGACACACUUGAAUCAAAUGACCCCGAUACUCAAGGGUCAGAGACAUUUUGGGAGGCUUUAUGGCUCGCGAGGCCUUCUUCAUGGUCAGCAGAGAUAAGUUAUAAUUUUGCUUGAAAUGGAAAGUUGAAAGGAUGUUUGCUGCAGCAAAAGAAGAGAUGAUUCUGUUUAGGGACCAAUUAUAUUGUGUGCUGAAAUAGAUAUUUAAUUAAAUUAGAUCUUGUAAUUAUACAUUCUGGUUCUGGUACUUUGAAUGCUGAAUAUGGCACUUUUUCAUUAAAUGCCACAGUAGAAACAUUGUAUAUUUAUCUACACAAUAGAAUCUCUCAGGUUUGAUAGAUAAUGAAGUCCCUGAGAGACUUUUAAUGCAUAUUUUAAAAAAUGUUUUUAUCUGUUGUUUUUUCUAUAAAGAAUGUUUCAGAUGUAAGCACAUUCCACAGCAGUUCUUCAAGUGCAAUACUCAGCUCAUGGUUCUCAUUUGUGCCAUGUUUGAUUGUUACUUCAGAGCACUGAGAGUUUUUUUUUUCUUGUAUGCGAGCACUGUUUAGACGUCAUGAUUCUUUUUUUUUUUUUGUCUUUGCACAUGUGUGCCCGCCUGUGCUGUCUGUUCUCUGUUCAUUUUAUGGUCUGCCACCUCUCCUUUAAAUAAAAAGUGCCUGA